rnacentral:rRNA from 1 species
UACGUAGGUGGCAAGCGUUGUCCGGAUUUACUGGGCGUAAAGAGCGCGCAGGCGGUCGUUCAAGUCGCGUGUGAAAGCCCCCGGCUCAACUGGGGAGGGUCACGCGAUACUGAUCGACUCGAAGGCAGGAGAGGGAAGUGGAAUUCCCGGUGUAGUGGUGAAAUGCGUAGAUAUCGGGAGGAACACCAGUGGCGAAGGCGACUUCCUGGCCUGUUCUUGACGCUGAGGCGCGAAAGCUAAGGGAGCAAACGGG